CAGCAGCCGCGGUAAUACAGAGGGUGCGAGCGUUAAUCGGAUUUACUGGGCGUAAAGCGUGCGUAGGCGGCUUCUUAAGUCGGAUGUGAAAUUCCUGAGCUUAACUUAGGAAUUGCAUUCGAUACUGGGAAGCUAGAGUAUGGGAGAGGAUGGUAGAAUUCCAGGUGUAGCGGUGAAAUGCGUAGAGAUCUGGAGGAAUACCGAUGGCGAAGGCAGCCAUCUGGCCUAAUACUGACGCUGAGGUACGAAAGCAUGGGGAGCAAACAGGAUUAGAUACCCGUGUAGUCCCUGUCUCUUAUAC
rnacentral:rRNA from 1 species